UUUUGAACCUCUCGAGUUGUUCUAGCUGCCUGUUGGGUAGGAUUCAAUCGGUUCUUAACGUAGGUAAUUGAUUUUUCAAAUUGGAAAUUCGGACGGUUUUCGGCCUCCGAGUUCGGCCACUUCCGGUCAGUUUUUGGGGUAGGUCCAAGAAGAAAAGUGACUCCAAAUAUGGUGUUAUACCUACGGUAGGAGUUUGGAGCCGUG
rnacentral:lncRNA from 1 species